rnacentral:rRNA from 1 species
AUACGUAGGGUGCAAGCGUUAAUCGGAAUUACUGGGCGUAAAGAGUGCGCAGGCGGUUUUGUAAGAAAGAGGUGAAAUCCCCGGGCUCAACCUGGGUACUGCCAUUUUGACUGCAAAGCUGGAGUGCGGCAGAGGGGGCUGGAAUUUCCAGUGUAGCUGUGAAAUGCGUAGAUAUGCGGAGGAACACCGAUGGCGAAGGCAAUCCCCUGGGCCUGCACUGACGCUCAUGCACGAAAGCGUGGGGAGCAAACAGGAUUAGAUACCCUGGUAGUCCACGCCCUAAACGAUGUCAACUGGUUGUUGGGGAUUUAUUUUCUCAGUAACGAAGCUAACGCGUGAAGUUGACCGCCUGGGGAGUACGGCCGCAAGGUUAAAACUCAAAGGAAUUGACGGGG